rnacentral:rRNA from 1 species
GAUGAACGCUGGCGGCGUGCCUAAUACAUGCAAGUCGAGCGAACGGACGAGAAGCUUGCUUUUCUGAUGUUAGCGGCGGACGGGUGAGUAACACGUGGAUAACCUACCUAUAAGACUGGGAUAACUUCGGGAAACCGGAGCUAAUACCGGAUAAUAUUUUGAACCGCAUGGUUCAAAAGUGAAAGACGGUCUUGCUGUCACUUAUAGAUGGAUCCGCGCUGCAUUAGCUAGUUGGUAAGGUAACGGCUUACCAAGGCAACGAUGCAUAGCCGACCGGUGAGGGUGAUAGGCCACACUGGAACGGAGACGCGGUCCAGACUACUACGGGAGGCAGCAGUCGGGAAUCUUCCGCAAUGGGCGAAAGCCUGACGGAGCAACGCCGCGUGAGUGAUGAAGGUCUUCGGAUCGUAAAACUCUGUUAUUAGGGAAGAACAUAUGUGUAAGUAACUGUGCACAUCUUGACGGUACCUAAUCAGAAAGCCACGGCUAACUACGUG